rnacentral:rRNA from 1 species
GACAGAGGGGGCAAGCGUUGUCCGGAUUGACUGGGCGUAAAGCGUGCGCAGGCGGUUGUGCAAGACCGAUGUGAAAUCCCCGGGCUUAACCUGGGAAUGGCAUUGGUGACUGCACGGCUAGAGUGUGUCAGAGGGGGGUAGAAUUCCACGUGUAGCAGUGAAAUGCGUAGAGAUGUGGAGGAAUACCGAUGGCGAAGGCAGCCCCCUGGGAUAACACUGACGCUCAUGCACGAAAGCGUGGGGAGCAAACAGG